CGCCUACGGGAGGCAGCAGUGGGGAAUAUUGGGCAAUGGGCGCAAGCCUGACCCAGCAACGCCGCGUGAAGGAAGAAGGCUUUCGGGUUGUAAACUUCUUUUCUCAGGGACGAAGCAAGUGGCGGUACCCGAGGAAUAAGCCCCGGCUAACUACGUGCCAGCAGCCGCGGUAAUACGUAGGGGGCAAGCGUUAUCCGGAUUUACUGGGUGUAAAGGGAGCGCAGACGGCAGUGCAAGUCUGGAGGGAAAGCCCGGGGCCCAACCCCGGAACUGCUCUGGAAACUGUGCGGCUAGUGGACUGGAGG
rnacentral:rRNA from 1 species